UACGUAGGGUGCAAGCGUUGUCCGGAAUUAUUGGGCGUAAAGAGCUCGUAGGCGGUUUGUUGCGUCGGCUGUGAAAUCCCGAGGCUCAACCUCGGGUCUGCAGUCGAUACGAGCAAACUAGAGUGUUGCAGGGGAGACUGGAAUUCCUGGUGUAGCGGUGAAAUGCGCAGAUAUCAGGAGGAACACCGGUGGCGAAGGCGGGUCUCUGGGCAACAACUGACGCUGAGGAGCGAAAGCGUGGGGAGUGAACAGG
rnacentral:rRNA from 1 species